GCAGGGACACCCGGAGCUGGGACACCCGGAGCAGAGACACCCGGAGCUGGGACACCCCCGGGUUUGGGAUAUCCUGGGAGCUGGGACACCCCCGGAGCAGGGACACCCGGAGCUGGGGACACCCGGAGCUGGGGACACCCGGAGCUGGGACACCCCCGGAGCAGAGACACCCAGAGCUGGGACACCCCCGGGUCUGGGAUAUCCUGGGAGCUGGGACACCCGGAGCAGAGACACCCUUGGGUCUGGGAUAUCCUGGGUUUGGGAUAUCCCAGGUUUGGGAUAUCCCCGAAGCCGGGACACCCAAAACGGGGACACCCCCGGAGCGGGGACACCCAGAGCCGGGAUAUCCCAAGAACCGGGACACCCAAAACGGGGACACCCCCGGAGCGGGGACACCCCUGGAGGGGGACAGCCCCAGGUUUGGGGUACCCCCGGAGCCAGGACAGCCCUGACUUUGGGAUACCCCCAAAUCUGGGGUACCCCCAGAGCUGGGACACCCAAAUUUGGGAUAUCCCCAGAUUUGGGACACCCCGGAUUUGGGACACCCCAGAUUUGGGACACCCCGGAUUUGGGACACCCCGGAUUUGGGGUACCCCUGAAGCUGGGACACCCCAGAUUUGGGACACCCCGGAUUUGGGACACCCCAGAUUUGGGACACCCCGGAUUUGGGACACCCCGGAUUUGGGACACCCCGGAUUUGGGGUGUCCCCGGCUCGCCCGUCCCAAGGGAGGGGUGCAGGGUCAGAGACGGACAGAGAGCGGCGCCGGCACGACGCGCCCGCCGCAGGAUGGACUCGGCCAACUGGACACUGGCCAACGGCUCCUCUGCGCGCACACUCGGCCAAUCGCAGCUCCGGCCACAACUGGACAUCGGCCAGUGGCCAGUUUGGUCAGCGGAAGGCUCGGCCAAUCGCAGCUCUGGCCACAACCCCGGUGGCCAAUGAGAAAUUUGGUCAACGGAAGGCUCGGCCAAUCGUAGCUCUGGCCACAACCUCGGCCACCUGGACAUUGGCCAAUGGCGAGUUCAGUCAUUGGCCAACUGUAGCCUUGGCCAGCUGUAGCCUUCUGGUCAACUGGAGUUUGGCCAGUGGUAGCCUCGGUCACCCGAAGCCUUGGCCGGUGGUAGGUUGGCCAAUGGUAGCCGGGGCUGCCGGUAAUUUGGCUAAUUAAUUUAGCCAAUGGUAGAUUGGCUAACCAAAGCUUAGGCCAAUCACAGCUUGUGCCAAUCACAGCUUUGGCCAAUCACAGCUUGGGCCAAUCACAGCUUUGGCCAAUCACAGCCUUGGCCAGUCACAGCUUAGGCCAAUCACAGCUUGGGCCAAUGGUAGCCAUGGCUGCUGGGAGUUUGGCCAGCUAGAGCCUCGGCCAAUGGUAGGCUGGCCAAUGGCAACCAAAGCCUCAGCCAAUGGCAACCAAAGCCUCGGCCGAUGGCAACCAAAGCCUCGGCCAAUGGCAACCAAAGCCUCGGCCGAUGGUAGCCCUGGCUACCUGGAGCGGUGGCCAACGGCAGCCCUGGCCAACGGUAGCCUGGCUCACCUUUGGCCAACCACACCACGGGCCAACGCCAGACUGACCAACCGAACCCUCGGCCAUCGCUGGGCUACCGGGACCGCUGGCCAACGGCGGCCUCGGUGACCGACUGACCACCCGGAGCCCUGGCCACCGGUCUGCUGGGCUACCUGAACCUCGGUCCAGCUGGCCCUGCGCCUGUAGCCUGGGCUACCUGAACCUUCAUGCCACUGGCCCUGCGCCUGUAGCCUCGGCCAGCAGCUGGAGCUGGUCGGUGACCUGCACCUCGGCCUCCUGCAGCCUUGGCUACCUAAAUAGGGCCGUCCCUAGCCUCGGCCACCUGCAGCCCUGCUGCUGGUAGCCCUGUCCACCUGUACUCCGGCCACCAACACCGAUGGCCGCCUGUAGCCCUGACCGCUCGCCGUUUCGGCCACCUGAGCGCUGUCC
rnacentral:lncRNA from 1 species